rnacentral:rRNA from 1 species
ACGAACGCUGGCGGCGUGCCUAAUACAUGCAAGUCGAACGCUUCUUUUUCCAUCGGAGCUUGCUCCACCGGAAAAAGAGGAGUGGCGAACGGGUGAGUAACACGUGGGUAACCUGCCCAUCAGAAGGGGAUAACACUUGGAAACAGGUGCUAAUACCGUAUAACAAUCGAAACCGCAUGGUUUUGAUUUGAAAGGCGCUUUCGGGUGUCGCUGAUGGAUGGACCCGCGGUGCAUUAGCUAGUUGGUGAGGUAACGGCUCACCAAGGCGACGAUGCAUAGCCGACCUGAGAGGGUGAUCGGCCACAUUGGGACUGAGACACGGCCCAAACUCCUACGGGAGGCAGCAGUAGGGAAUCUUCGGCAAUGGACGAAAGUCUGACCGAGCAACGCCGCGUGAGUGAAGAAGGUUUUCGGAUCGUAAAACUCUGUUGUUAGAGAAGAACAAGGAUGAGAGUAACUGUUCAUCCCUUGACGGUAUCUAACCAGAAAGCCACGGCUAACUACGUGCCAGCAGCCGCGGUAAUACGUAGGUGGCAAGCGUUGUCCGGAUUUAUUGGGCGUAAAGCGAGCGCAGGCGGUUUCUUAAGUCUGAUGUGAAAGCCCCCGGCUCAACCGGGGAGGGUCAUUGGAAACUGGGAGACUUGAGUGCAGAAGAGGAGAGUGGAAUUCCAUGUGUAGCGGUGAAAUGCGUAGAUAUAUGGAGGAACACCAGUGGCGAAGGCGGCUCUCUGGUCUGUAACUGACGCUAAGGCUCGAAAGCGUGGGGAGCAAACAGGAUUAGAUACCCUGGUAGUCCACGCCGUAAACGAUGAGUGCUAAGUGUUGGAGGGUUUCCGCCCUUCAGUGCUGCAGCUAACGCAUUAAGCACUCCGCCUGGGGAGUACGACCGCAAGGUUGAAACUCAAAGGAAUUGACGGGGGCCCGCACAAGCGGUGGAGCAUGUGGUUUAAUUCGAAGCAACGCGAAGAACCUUACCAGGUCUUGACAUCCUUUGACCACUCUAGAGAUAGAGCUUCCCCUUCGGGGGCAAAGUGACAGGUGGUGCAUGGUUGUCGUCAGCUCGUGUCGUGAGAUGUUGGGUUAAGUCCCGCAACGAGCGCAACCCUUAUUGUUAGUUGCCAUCAUUUAGUUGGGCACUCUAGCAAGACUGCCGGUGACAAACCGGAGGAAGGUGGGGAUGACGUCAAAUCAUCAUGCCCCUUAUGACCUGGGCUACACACGUGCUACAAUGGGAAGUACAACGAGUCGCAAAGUCGCGAGGCUAAGCUAAUCUCUUAAAGCUUCUCUCAGUUCGGAUUGUAGGCUGCAACUCGCCUACAUGAAGCCGGAAUCGCUAGUAAUCGCGGAUCAGCACGCCGCGGUGAAUACGUUCCCGGGCCUUGUACACACCGCCCGUCACACCACGAGAGUUUGUAACACCCGAAGUCGGUGAGGUAACCUUUUGGAGCCAGCCGCCUAAGGUGGGAUAGAUGAUUGGGGUG